rnacentral:lncRNA from 1 species
CACAGCCCUCAGUCCUAAAGGCUGGUCUCACUCCCAUCCUGCCACGCAACAGCACAGGGUCUAUUUCGAGACAGCCAGUGACCAGGGCUGAGAACUUGCCCCAGACCACCAGCCUCCUCACUGAGAAAGCAAGCAGAAUCACAGUUUUUUGGAAUCUCAGGGAGCCUUCAGCGGCAAUCCAGUUCCUUCAAAGGGUCUGUGGAUUCUCUCAGUUUUCAUGAUUCCAGGAACAUGAAGAUAAUGGGAGAGGCAGCCAGUCGGGGGCAAAGAUGCCGUUAAACAGUCAGCCCUGGGCAUGGACGUGCCCCCUCCUACUGAAGUCCUAUAUUCACAUCUUUCUGGGCCUGAAGCUGGCAUGUAAUUCUCGUUAACUCCAUGAGCAGAGUUUCAAUACUGCCCUGACCAAUGGGCAAAGAUGAUUCCCAGGCUGGAUCCCUGAACGCUAACUGACAUCCUGCUUUUCUUAAGGGAUAUGGAAAUUUCCCUGGGACAGCUGUGCUCUGCUGGCUAAGGAGCCCACAAGGUUAAUGAACACCCACAAAGACUGAGGAGGAUAGAGAGCAUUCUUCACUGGAUGAUUAGCAUGCCAGCAUUCUUUCCUCUGUGGUAAUGAUGGUC